GGGGACGUCGGUUAGUGGCUAAACCAGCGGUCUCCAAAACCGCCACCGGGGGUUCGAGUCCCCCCGUCCCUG
rnacentral:tRNA from 3 species